rnacentral:tRNA from 1 species
GCCUCGGUAGUCUAGGCUUAGGACGCUCGCACGGUAUGCAAGAGAUCCGGGUUCGACUCCCGACCGAGGUA